CCAAUAGCGUAUAUUAAAGUUGUUGCAGUUAAAAAGCUCGUAGUUGAAUUUCAGGCCUGGCUGGACGGUCCGCCCUUCGGGUGAGUACUGUCUGUGGUCGGGUCCUACCUUCUGGCGAAGCGUCAUGGCCUUAACCGGCCGUGGCGGGGAACCAGGACUUUUACUGUGAGAAAAUUAGAGUGUUCAAAGCAGGCAAUCGCUUGGAUACAUUAGCAUGGAAUAAUGGAAUAGGACAAUGGUUCUAUUUGUUGGUUUCUAGGACCGUUGUAAUGAUUAAUAGGGAUAGUUGGGGGCAUUAGUAUUCAAUUGUCAGAGGUGAAAUUCUUGGAUUUAUUGAAGACUAACUACUGCGAAAGCAUUUGCCAAGGAUGUUUUCAUUAAUCAAGAACGAAAGUUAGGGGAUCGAAGACGAUCAGAUACCGUCGUAGUCUUAACCAUAAACUAUGCCGACUAGGAAUCGGGCGAUGUUGAAAAAAUGACGCGCUCGGCACCUCAUG
rnacentral:rRNA from 1 species